GUGUGUGUGUGUGUGUGUGUGUGUGUGUGUGUGUGUGUGUGUGUGUAUGUGUGUGUGUGUGUGUGUGAUGACUCUGGUCUAAUGUAAUGUAAUGCUCAUUAGAACUAACUGGAGUAAGUGUUUGCCCUGCCUAUCCCUCCCUUUAGAUGGUCACAUGUGACUAUUUCCCAUUAAAACCUUGUUAUAACAUCCAAAAUGUUAACCUACACAAACAUUGUGUAACUGUUAGAGGAUUUAGGCUAAUCUUGUCCUGGUUGGCUCCCUGGUAGAGCCUGCCAUCAGUGUGUGAAUGGCUGAAUGAUAGACAUGUAUUGUAGAGUGCUUUGAGUGGUUGAUAAUACUAGAAAAGCAUUAUAUAUGCAAGAACAAUCCAUUUACCAUAUUCUUCACUGUGUCAGAACCUAUAGGUGUGCAUCACCUGUGUGAUCAUGAGAAGGCUGAAGAACCAGGAGUGACAAGAUAUCACCGGCUGCUGGGGUGCAGCAUUAAACCCAGAGACAGGUCGGCAAGCAGAGGCAAAACAUACAGAGAAUGAAACCAAGUUCACAUCAGUCAUAAUAAGAUAUUAUACAUUUUGGAAAUGAAAAGUCUCCUGCCACAAGAUCUUCAGAGCCAGAGCAUCAAAGAUCCAGACGAUUUCUGCCAAUUUGGAGGAGGAUUCAGAUUUUUCUGCUUUUUCUGCUGUGUUGUACCUCUGUUACAGAUUCAUUGACCCUUUGUGGUAUAUUUUCAUUUUACUUAAUAAUACACUGUAUAGUUAGGAUUCUUAAUUAAAAGACUGUAAUGCUUCUCCACAGAUGUUAUCAGAACUACCUUAUACAGAGCCCCCAAGGGUUAGGAGAAUAAAGAAGAAGACCACAACUCCCUCAGCUCAACAACACAAUUUGUUGCUUCCUCCAUCCAUUUCAAAGGUGAAAUCUUGACCUCAUUUUGAUAGAAAUGCUAACAGACACACAUGUUACACACAUUUAGUUUUUCAGUUCCUCCUGGGGGGCUCUAAAGAACUGUUUGUGAAUAAUUGGUUGAUAUUGUAAAUUGACAUCUGAAUACAAAAAAUAAAAGGAUUUUAGAAUCAA